rnacentral:lncRNA from 1 species
AGGUCCUUCUUUGGGCAGCUGUCAAAUGCCUUCCACAGGAGGAUCCAUUGGAUUCCAAGAAGGUCAACACCAUAGUAGACUACACAACGCAACAUUUCAGCCUACUUCCAGGGCAGCUGGAGAACUCGUCCUCCUUACUAGCCCGGGGAUAUUAAAUGGAUGUGUUCAAGCACAAAUGGAAACCUGUCUUCUUCUGUUGCAUGCCACACCUAGCCACUUGGCAAUCACUAUUCGCCACAGACAGAUAGUUGACAGGAUGUUACUAGCAAGUCGUUAGGAUAUAUAAAGGUGGUCAAUAAAUAGUCGCUUCACAGUUGACACUUUCUAACGACAUAAGAUAAUAAGCAGUCGGUAAGAAUUCUAUCGACAUUUUAUAUCUAUACUUUCAAUUCAAUAUCGGUGGCCAAUAGUCGGUAGGAGGUUACUAGGAAGUUGUUACGGUGUCUAAAGACGGUUUAUAGAAUGUCGAUAGGUUCUAGUAACAUUUGUCUAAAGACGGUUUAUAAAAUGUUACUAAAAAUUUUUGUAAGGGCUGCGGCGCACAG